rnacentral:rRNA from 4 species
UAAACGACUCUCGGCAACGGAUAUCUCGGCUCUCGCAUCGAUGAAGAACGUAGCGAAAUGCGAUACUUGGUGUGAAUUGCAGAAUCCCGCGAACCAUCGAGUCUUUGAACGCAAGUUGCGCCCGAAGCCACUAGGUUGAGGGCACGUCUGCCUGGGCGUCUCAC